GGGAGGGGGGAGGGAGGGCAGCCGGCAGGGGCGAGGCAGACAAUGAGGGUAGCUGUUUGCUACUCUGGCAAGGAGCCUUCGCAGGGCUCCCUCUGUUUUGGAAACAUGUUAGGGUCAAGGAGGCAAAAGUGGCGACCUGGCCAGGAGGUUUCUCCCGGCUCCUCCCCUGGGCAUCUGGCGCAAAGACCUACUGCUGGGUCCGGUCUGGGGGGAUGCCCUCUCCAUCCCACAGGGCCCCCGGGUAGGACAGUAAGUCCCAGGAAGGUGCCAGGGCAAGAAAAGAGACAAAUCAGGCAGAACAGAACAGCUAAUUAGAAGCCCGGGUCCACACCCUAACAACUUUUCCAUUUCUUCUUUGGGAGUGUGUAUGUAAAAGAAGAAAAAAAAAGGUUUAUUUUUAUAAAAUUAUGUUCCACACUCCCUGCCUCUGUAUAGCUUUUCCAACUCAGUGCCAGUCAAUUCAUCUUACUUCACUGCUUAUAUACAGAGUGUGAGCCGUUUACAAUAGCUCUUAUUCAUACUUUUUAAAAUCGCCUUUAAUUUUUUUUUUCUUAAAUGUGAUUGUGACCCAUCUCCUGGGCUGCACUGGAGUCGCCUUGGUCCGGAGCGACUGUCUGCUUCAAGCCUGCACCUUCCUCAGGAGACAUGAUGCCUGGAGAUACAGCAGCCAUCUUGCAACCUUGGGGACAAAAGCCACUCACUUAAGGAUGGUGGAGCAGGGACGUCCUAGGUGGCAUCUGUAAAGAGCUGUACCUUCUUGUUAGGUGACAAAAAUAAACUCCUAUGUGUUCAGGUUAU